rnacentral:rRNA from 1 species
UCCAGGGGGGGCAAGCGUUGUUCGGAAUUACUGGGCGUAAAGGGUCUGUAGGUGGCCAACUAAGUCAGACGUGAAAUCCCUCAGCUUAACUGGGGAACUGCGUCUGAUACUGGAUGGCUUGAGUGUGGGAGAGGAAUGCGGAAUUCCAGGUGUAGCGGUGAAAUGCGUAGAUAUCUGGAGGAACACCGGUGGCGAAGGCGGCAUUCUGGACCAUAACUGACACUGAGAGACGAAAGCCAGGGGAGCAAACGGG